UGCAGGAUAGAGUAGUGGCAACUCAACAGUCUCAUAUACUGUAUAUCGCAGGUUCGAUUCCUGCUCUUGCAACCA
rnacentral:tRNA from 1 species